rnacentral:rRNA from 1 species
GACGAACGCUGGCGGCGUGCUUAACACAUGCAAGUCGAACGGAAAGACCCUGCUUUUGUGGGGUACUCGAGUGGCGAACGGGUGAGUAACACGUGAGUAACCUGCCCUUGACUUUGGGAUAACUUCAGGAAACUGGGGCUAAUACCGGAUAGGAGCUCCUGCUGCAUGGUGGGGGUUGGAAAGUUUCGGCGGUUGGGGAUGGACUCGCGGCUUAUCAGCUUGUUGGUGGGGUAGUGGCUUACCAAGGCUUUGACGGGUAGCCGGCCUGAGAGGGUGACCGGCCACAUUGGGACUGAGAUACGGCCCAGACUCCUACGGGAGGCAGCAGUGGGGAAUAUUGCACAAUGGGCGGAAGCCUGAUGCAGCAACGCCGCGUGCGGGAUGACGGCCUUCGGGUUGUAAACCGCUUUCGCCUGUGACGAAGCGUGAGUGACGGUAAUGGGUAAAGAAGCACCGACUAACUACGUG